ACAGCAGUAGCCGCGGUAAUACGAAGGGUGCAAGCGUUACUCGGAAUUACUGGGCGUAAAGCGUGCGUAGGUGGUGGUUUAAGUCCGUUGUGAAAGCCCUGGGCUCAACCUGGGAAUUGCAGUGGAUACUGGGUCACUAGAGUGUGGUAGAGGAUAGUGGAAUUUCCGGUGUAGCAGUGAAAUGCGUAGAGAUCGGAAGGAACAUCUGUGGCGAAGGCGACUAUCUGGGCCAACACUGACACUGAGGCACGAAAGCGUGGGGAGCAAACAGGAUUAGAUACCCGCGUAGUCCCUGUCUCUUAUAA
rnacentral:rRNA from 1 species